CCUGAGGCAGCAACGCCCGGUGAGUGAUGAAGGCCUGCGGGUCGUAAAACUCUGGCCUCAAGGAAGAUAAGGACGGUACGUGAGGAGGAAGCCCCGGCUAACUACUGGCCAGCGUCCGCGUGAAUACGUAGGGGGCUAGCGUUAUCCGGAUUUACUGGGCGUAAAGGGUGCGUAGGCGGUCGUUCAAGUCAGGAGUGAAAGGCUACGGCUCAACCGGAGUAAGCUCUGGAAACUGGGAGACUUGAGUGCAGGAGAGGAGAGUGGAAUUCCUAGUGUAGCGGUGAAAUGCGUAGGUAUUAGGAGGAACACCAGUUGCGACGGCGGCUCUCUGGACUGAUACUGACGUUGCGUUACGAAAGCGGGAGGAGCAACCAGGAUUAGAUACCCUGGUAGUCCACGCUGGAAACGAUGAGUACUAGGUGUCGGGGGUUAC
rnacentral:rRNA from 1 species